rnacentral:rRNA from 1 species
GACAGAGGGUGCGAACGUUGUUCGGAAUUACUGGGCGUAAAGCGCAUGUAGGCUGUCUUGCAAGUCGGGUGUGAAAGCCCAGGGCUCAACCCUGGAAGUGCACUCGAAACUGCAAGACUAGAAUCUCGGAGAGGGUAGCGGAAUUCUGGGUGUAGAGGUGAAAUUCGUAGAUAUCCAGAGGAACACCGGUGGCGAAGGCGGCUACCUGGACGAGUAUUGACGCUGAGGUGCGAAAGCGUGGGGAGCAAACAGG